rnacentral:rRNA from 1 species
GGUUAAGUUAAUAAGGGCGCACGGUGGAUGCCUUGGCACUAGAAGCCGAAGAAGGACGUGACUAACGACGAAAUGCCUUGGGGAGCUGUAAGUAAGCAAUGAUCCAGGGAUGUCCGAAUGGGGGAACCCGGCAGGUAAUGCCUGUCACUCACUACUGUUAAGGUAGUGAAGAGGAAGACGCAGUGAACUGAAACAUCUAAGUAGCUGCAGGAAGAGAAAGCAAAAGCGAUUGCCUUAGUAGCGGCGAGCGAAACGGCAGGAGGGCAAACCGAGGAGUUUACUUCUCGGGGUUGUAGGACUGCAAUGUGGACUUAAAGAGUAUAGAAGAACUACCUGGGAAGGUAGGCCAAAGAGAGUAAUAGCCUCGUAUUUGAAAUAAUCUUUAUACCUAGCAGUAUCCUGAGUACGGCGAGACACGCGAAAUCUCGUCGGAAUCUGGGAGGACCAUCUCCCAACCCUAAAUACUCUCUAGUGACCGAUAGUGAACCAGUACCGUGA